GCGCAAUGGGCGAAAGCCUGACGCAGCUACGCCGCGUGGGUGAUGAAGGCCUUCGGGUUGUAAAGCCCUGUCGAGGGGGAAGAAGUAUGACGGUACCCCUCAAGAAAGCGCCGGCUAACCCUGUGCCAGCAGCCGCGGUAAUACAGGGGGCGCGAGCGUUGCUCGGAAUCACUGGGCGUAAAGCGUACGCAGGCGGACUGUUAAGUCGGGUGUGAAAGCCCGGGGCUCAACCCCGGAAUUGCAUUCGAAACUGGCAGUCUUGAGUACGGAAGAGGGGAGUGGAAUUCCUGGUGUAGAGGUGAAAUUCGUAGAUAUCAGGAGGAACACCGGUGGCGAAAGCGGCUCCCUGGUCCGAUACUGACGCUCAUGUACGAAAGCGUGGGGAGCAAACAGGAUUAGAUACCCUGGUAGUCCACGCCGUAAACGAUGGAUGCUAGAUGUUGGGGGUAUUGACCCCUCCGGCGUCGCAGUUAACGCAUUAAGCAUCCCGCCUGGGGAGUACGGCCGCAAGGCUA
rnacentral:rRNA from 1 species